ACCACUUGCACCUCAUAAUCCUACCUUGAUUUAAUUUUUGGAGGACAAAACAAUAAAAUCUCGUUCUUCUUUCUUUUCUACCUCUGCUGUGUUUUCUGUGCUUGCAUAUAAUUUUUGUGUGUGUCCCCUUCAUUAUACAUGUAUCUAUAUACCUAGUCAAUAAUAACCUACCCUCAAGAGUUGUUACGUAGUGGGAGACGUGUGCUUAAUUGGAUAAAGUUGAGGAA
rnacentral:lncRNA from 1 species